UCGAGGGGCAUCGGGGAGCGAAGCUUGCUUUGCUCCGCCGGCGACCGGCGCACGGGUGAGUAACGCGUAUGCAACCUGCCCGUUUCAGCGGGAUAACCCGGAGAAAUCCGGCCUAAUACCGCAUGUGGCCGAGGGAAGGCAUCUUCUUUCGGCCAAAGGAGGCGACUCCGGAGACGGAUGGGCAUGCGUGACAUUAGCUUGUUGGCGGGGUAACGGCCCACCAAGGCGACGAUGUCUAGGGGUUCUGAGAGGAAGGUCCCCCACGCUGGUACUGAGACACGGACCAGACUCAUACGGGAGGCAGCAGUGAGGAAUAUUGGUCAAUGGGCGAGAGCCUGAACCAGCCAAGUCGCGUGAAGGAUGACGGCCCUACGGGUUGUAAACUUCUUUUGUCAGGGAGCAAUUGGGUCCACGCGUGGGCUUAGCGAGAGUACCUGAAGAAAAAGCAUCGGCUAACUCCGUGCCAGCAGCCGCGGUAAUACGGAGGAUGCGAGCGUUAUCCGGAUUUAUUGGGUUUAAAGGGUGCGUAGGCGGGUUAUCAAGUCAGCGGUAAAAUCGUGGAGCUCAACUCCAUCCAGCCGUUGAAACUGAUGAUCUUGAGUGGGCGAGAAGUAUGCGGAAUGCGUGGUGUAGCGGUGAAAUGCAUAGAUAUCACGCACAACUCCGAUUGCGAAGGCAGCAUACCGGCGCCCGACUGACGCUGAAGCACGAAAGCGUGAGUAUCGAACAGGAUUAGAUACCCUGGUACUCCACGCAGUAAACGAUGAAUACUAGUUGUGUGCUCCGAAUGAUGAGUGCGUGAUA
rnacentral:rRNA from 1 species